UGAGGUCAUCAGUGCACAAUGGUCAGGCCCGGAGUUUCAGUCCUUGUGACCUUGUGACCUUUGAAGAACGACAGAAGGAAUCGAGGGGCGUCGUGGCGACCGGGUUAGGUUUAUCUGCUGCUCUGGCUCCUUGCUCCUAGACCUAGGGGCGGGCCCCUAGUUAUGCGGCGUGCAGGCGACGGGAAGCGCUUGUCGUGAGCAGCAGCGAUGAGAUCAGUUUGCAUAACCACAGCGUCGGGGUGGGGAGUGCAGCCAGUCACGCAGCCACCACCCGACCCGGCUCAGGCUCUGCCCAGGUGGCAGCGGCUGCCCCACGGAUUUGGGUAGCUGGAGGUGGUCCUGCCCCUUCAAGGCCAGGGCCUGCUGGGGUGUCAGAAUCAUUCCAAGGGAGUGUCCAGGAGGCAGUGGGGAGGAGGGGAGCCACACACACACAAAAAACCCCCGCAACCUUCAGGGUUUGCAGACUGGAUUCUAUUAGGCAGGUUUCCAGACACAGUGAAAACCACUGUGCCUAGUAGGUAACUUCAAAGACCACUAUCAUGGAAAUCAAAGGUCAUUAAAAGGGGCCUUUAAUUUGUUUAUAUUAUUUCGCCUAGCAGUCUUUCCUAUGUGUGCAUGAAAUUUAAUUUAUGCAUUCAAGUCUGGAAUCCUGCUUUAGCAAGGGAAACAAUUAUGAAUUCAGUUAAGAGUAUGGGUACAAACGGAUUACUUAAAAGAACAAUGAACUGGGAAAAAAAAAUUCCAGCUCCUAACAAGAAGGCCAUUACAUUCAGCUUUUCACGGUUUUGAACAUCUUGUGCGGGCUCAACAAUAAUACGUGGAGGAAGCUUCUAAUUAGGCAUUUAAAACGCUAGCAUUUACGCCAGGAAAACGUCAAGAAUGCCUUAUGUUAUAGACAUGUGAAUACCAUCUACAUAUAUAAGAGAGGUCCUACAUUGUGGUUCACUUCACUGAUUGCAUACUGACACCUGAAGAGGAGAUGGGUAGAUCUCCAUCCCCAACUUACCCUGACAAGACAGGCUACUGGUUUUAUGCAUGCUAUCUUCUGGAGUGUAUUAACCUGCUGGCUUUAUAUGGGAUGGUGAGUGCUGUGAUUCUAUGGGCUAUCGCCUUAAUAUGAUGAUGCUGUACAAAGGCACCUUCAAAAGUGCAACUUAUUAAUUUCAUGCCCCAGCCAUGUGACCAUCUGAGACUGCCUUCUCUUCCUCGAUGUAGUAAGAAUUAGGGAAAGGUUUUGCUUUUAGGUGAAAACGAGUUUGUUUCCUCAAACAAUGAGAAUGCAUGACAACACUAAACUUGUUCCCUAAAAUUUCAAAGUUAAAGAACUUAGUAUAGAUAGCACUGCUGUGGACACGUAGCCCACAACGACAGGCAAAGGAAGGGAAAAAGAACUGUCACUGUUACUAAAACUGACCAGCAUAUGUGGAGAAAGAAAAAUUCAUUAGUACUAACAUCAUUGGAGAAUUAUACUCAUGUUGCUGCUCUAAGUGAACUGUCCUUUUUGAAUUUUGGAAUUCAAUAUAUGACGCCAAUUGAUAGUAUGGCUGCAAAUGUUUUUGUCUGAUUUUAGAACCCAAACUCUCAGAGAUGUAGUAGAUUGAGGGCUAGUGACUGAUGCAUAGAAUAAGAGUCACUGAGAUUUUAGGAUUAGAUCCUUACCUGCAAUAGAAUAGCAAAUUAUUAGUACAAUUCUAUUGCAGGUAUAUAAUCUUGGUCUGAAGAUACAGCAGUGAAUAAGACAGAUGUGUUCUCUUGCUCCAAUCACAACAGAGAAGCUGGAACCAGGAAGGAGCCUGCAGAGUUCUAAUUAAAACAGCUCCCAUCAAUCAAAUGCUAACUCUGUAUCAGGCCUUCAGUGUUUCACCUGCAUUAAGUCAUACAAUCUGCCCUAAGUAAUAAUAAGUUAGACAUGCCACCCCUGAGGUCUCCUGGCUCCUCUCAACUGCCUCAUUUUCUCUGCCCAAAGGGACAGUGACUUCUCUGCUUGGAAAGAUGGCAUUUCAUAUGUAAUCCAGCCCUCUCCCUUCUUUCUGUUCUGUUUUGGGGAACACAUUUGGGGAUGGCCCUGGGCUAUCAGCAGUGGGCAUUUGCUCAGAGCUCUGCACUUCCAGGUCCUGUGGAGCAUAGGAUCUGGAGGAGGCCUCUUCACAUUUUGUGUUUGCAUAGCUGAGUAUCCUACUAGGAUUUAAAAUUUGGAAGCCGAAUUUUGCAUAGAUAUCAGCUUUCUCCUUAGUCAGUCGGGGACUGUAUGUAUUCCCGUAAGAGAGAAACAUUUUAAAAAAUAAAAGAAGCAAUUGUAUACUAUCAAAAAUGAACCAUCUAAAUACCAUUCAAAUUCUAUCCAGUCGGGAGGACUGAGCCUCACAUUCGCCUGUCACAUAACCUAGGAAACAGUCUUAAGAUAACAUUGACACCACCUUCACGGCUUUUCCUCAAUUCCUACAAUUUGUAAAACUGUGAUGUCCAGCCAUUGGGCUUUUUUGGGGGGAGACAAGUAGUGAAAUGAAAAGCACAUGGAAUUUAUGGGAUUGGAAAACCUAGAUUUGAGUCCAUUCUGCGUAAGUCUUUAAAAUUUUGAACCACUUGUUUGUUUGCUUUUCUUAACACUAUACAGGGCUUAACUAAGUUGGCAAGGCUGUUGAAGGAUUAGUGACUGAUCAAACCACAAGGUCCAGCAGAUAGUUCCAUGGAUAAUGGCAUCUGCUGCCAAGCCUGAUGACCUUAAUUUGAAAUUGUGCCUAAAAGUUGUCUUCUGACCUGCACACAUAUACUUAUGCUCAAAUACACACAACACAUACACACUAAAUGUAAUAAACAACUUGGAUUUUUAAAAGGUUUAAUUGGUUUUGUAUAUGUAUGGGUGUUUUGCCUGUCUGCACACUACAUGUGUACCUGGUGCCUUGAGGUCAAAAUAUGGUAUCUGGUACUGUGGGUUACAGAUGGUUGUGAGCUGUCUUGUAGGUACUGGGAAUCAAACCCAGGUUCUCUGCUAGAGCAGUGUGGUGGUUUGAAUGAGAAUGCCCCCAUGGGCUCAUAUAUUUUAAUGUUUGGGUCCCAGUUUAUGGAACUGUUGGGAUGAAUUAGGAGGUGUGGCCUUGUUGGAGUUGUGUCCCAGUGGAUGAGUUUUGAGAUUUCCAUUUAAUUCUAACUCUUCUUCAACUUGCAAAUAAGAUGCAAGCUCUCAGCUACUAGUCCAUGCCUGCCUGCCUGCUGCUGAGCUCCCCAGCAUGACAGUCAUAGACUCACCCUCUGGAACUGUAAGCUCCAAUUAAAGUCUUCCCUUUAAAGUUGCCUUGGUCAUUGUGUCUCUUCAGGACAAUAGAAAGGUAACUAAGACAAGUAGCACUCACUCUUCCCUGCUGAGUCAUCUUUCUAGCCCUUGUUGUAUGGGUUUAAAGGAAAAUCCUUCAAUAAUAGUUCAGUGUUACUGUAACUCUUUAACUUGACUUUAUACAUGCAUAGCUGAAGAGUUAGUGGCUGGAUGGUUCCUGUUUAAAGGCUGACAAUCACUCUGCCCACUAAGCUCUUUGUCUGCCAACUAACAUUUUUUUUUUUAAUUAUUUUAUGUGGAUGUGUAGGGAGCUGUCCCUGCAUUCUCCAUUACAAGAUGGCGCCUGCAUCCGGCAGGCACUGAAUGGUAAACAAGUUA